UAACUUGUGCAAGCGAAAUACAACCAGUGUUCCCAAAAGUGAAAUUAACAAGUGUUUUAUUCGUGUGAACCCUUUGUUUUUCCUUUGUAUUUAUUUCCAGGGGAACAACUUAUGUUCUAAGACAGCAACGAACUCGAAUAGUGAACAAUAUAGAAAAGGAAUUAACAACAUUUUUAAUUUACCGCGACAUAGAUAACGUAAAAUUCUUUCUUAUCGACUAUCAAAACUAAAUUAUAAAAUGUCGACAUCCGAGUUGGGCGUCACAGGACCACGUCUCGUUUCAGAUCUGAGAUCACUGAUGCAACGUUACCAAAGCGGAAAGUGUGUAUGACUCGACCCUUUCACUAUUCCAAUUAAAAUAUUAUAAUGAGUCCAGACAGAUCAAAUAGAUAUAAGUCAUAUCAGGAACCUGACUCCAAUUAUCCAAUUCGAUCAUCUUCUUGGUUUAGAAGAAGAAGAUACGUACUGAUAAGCUGGAAGCUGCCGGCUUACCACCUGAUUUGAAAAUAAAUAAAGAUAAUAUUCGAAGAUAUCGAAAGACUUGAGAGACCUGACUUGACCCAAGGAGCAGUAAAUGAUGGCUCUGAGACGUUUGCACAUUACGAGAGUAGCGGAGAAGGAAAUGUCAAUUCUGUGCAUGCAUUGAAGAAUGAAAUUGAUUUCAUUGAAAAUGAGGUGACGCCCUUGGUGAAGGCCGAAACUGAGGAAAUGGACGAUUUUUUCAUGGAUGUCAUCGACGAUGAGAAUUAUUACAAGGAUACUAUUGACGUCGACCACCUAUCAAUAAAUAAAGAAGAAGACGAUGCAGAACAUUUAUCGCUAAAAGAUUUUACUUCUUUCGAGGAUGCGAUAAGCAGCGAAGCUUUCCAGAGACCUAUUAAUAUGUCUGUUAACAAAACAGUAGGGGAAGCAAUUUUAUUUAUUUUAAAAUUUGUCCUCGUUCACACGGUUCCAUUAACUGCAAUUACCGAUUUAUUCAAUAUGAUCAAUUGUCUUUUUCUGGAACCUUUCUUGCCAAAUUCUAGGUAUCUAAUAGACAAAUGAUUUUAUCCUAAGAAUUGUACUAAAUUGUACGGAUCGUGUUCAAAGUGUGGCGUAUACGUAGGUAGAUUUCAACGGAAUGAUAGCUUUCAGAAAUGUAAGAUAUGCGGAGCGAAAAUUCAUUUGAAGGACUGCGCAUACAAAGAUUUUUUUGUUAUAAUGGACGUUGCGUCUCCGAUUUCUAAAUUAAUGGAAGCAAAUAGCGAUUACUAUGAUUAUGUCGUUAUUCAUGGAAUUGAUCAAAAUGGAAUAUUUCGCGAUGUUUAUGACGGAAGGAAGUAUCAGGAAUUUUUAAGUAAACCAAGUGAAUUUGAGAGACAUCGUUACGCUAAAAUGGUUUGCAAUACCGAUGGAGCGCCACUUUUUAAAAGUUCAUCCUACUCAAUUUGGCCUAUCUUUUUAAUGCUAAAUGAUCUACCAUAACACAUCAGAAGUAAGGAAUUGAUUCUGGUCGGCUUUUGGUUUGGGAAAGACAAGCCUGAUAUGAAAAUAUUCCUUGAGCCAUUUAUUGAACAAAUGAACCAGCUUUCAAGCAAGGGUAUUGAGUGCAUUGUAAACGGAACGAAGAAUUGUAUUACAGUUUUCACUUUAAUUUGCUUUGUAGAUUCU